rnacentral:rRNA from 1 species
UGAAUACGAGAUGCUACGGCAUCGAAGCAGACUAUGUCAUACUUCCAAGAAAAGCUUGCACUGUCAUAAACAAAUAAUGCCUGUACCAUAACCGACACAGGUGGGUAGGUAGAGUAUACUAAGGGGCGCGAGAUAACUCUCUCUAAGGAACUCGGCAAAAUGACUCCGUAACUUCGGGAGAAGGAGUGCCUUAUUUUAUAAGGUUGCAAUAACAAGAUCCAAGCAACUGUUUACCAAAAACACAGGUCUCCGCUAAGUCGUAAGACGAUGUAUGGGGGCUGACGCCUGCCCAGUGCCAGAAGGUUAAAGAAGUUGGUUAGCAUUAGCGAAGCUGAUAACUGAAGCCCUGGUGAACGGCGGCCGUAACGAUAACGGUCCUAAGGUAGCGAAAUUCCUUGUCGGGUAAGUUCCGACCCGCACGAAAGGCGUAAUGAUUUGGAUACUGUCUCGGAGAGGGGCUCGGUGAAAUAGACUUGUCUGUGAAGAUGCGGACUACCUGCACCAGGACAGGAAGACCCUAUGAAGCUUUACUGUAACUUGAGAUUGAAAUUGGACUUUAUUUGCGCAGUAUAGGUGGGAGACGUCGAAAAUAUUCUUGCGGGAAUAUUGGAGUCAUCAGUGAGAUACCACUCUUAUAAUGUUAGAUUUCUAACUUUGUAUCAUUAUCUGGUCAAAGAACAGUCUCAGGCGGGCAGUUUGACUGGGGCGGUCGCCUCCCAAACGGUAACGGAGGCGCACAAAGGUUUCCUCUGAACGUGUAGAAAUCGUAUCUAGAGUGUAAAGGCAUAAGGAAGCUUGACUGUGAGACCUACAAGUCGAGCAGGGACGAAAGUCGGUCUUAGUGAUCUGACGGUGCUGAGUGGAAAGGCCGUCACUCAACGGAUAAAAGUUACUCUAGGAUAACAGGCUGAUCUCCCCCAAGAGUUCACAUCGACGGGGAGGUUUGGCACCUCGAUGUCGGCUCAUCGCAUCCUGGGGCGGUAGUACGUCCCAAGGGUUGGGCUGUUCGCCCAUGAAAGCGGUACGCGAGCUGGGUUCAGAACGUCGUGAGACAGUUCGGUCCAUAUCCGGUGUAGGCGUUAGAAUAUUGAGAGGAGCCUUCUUUAGUACGAGAGGACCGAGAAGGACAUACCUCUGGUGUACCAGUUAUCGUGCCAACGGUAAACGCUGGGUAGCUAUGUAUGGAGAGGAUAACCGCUGAAAGCAUCUAAGUGGGAAGCCCACCUCAAGAUAAGUAUUCU